AGUGAACGCUGGCGGUAGGCCUAACACAUGCAAGUCGAACGGCAGCACAGUAAGAGCUUGCUCUUACGGGUGGCGAGUGGCGGACGGGUGAGUAAUACAUCGGAAUCUACUUUUUCGUGGGGGAUAACGUAGGGAAACUUACGCUAAUACCGCAUACGACCUACGGGUGAAAGCAGGGGAUCUUCGGACCUUGCGCGAUUGAAUGAGCCGAUGUCGGAUUAGCUAGUUGGCGGGGUAAAGGCCCACCAAGGCGACGAUCCGUAGCUGGUCUGAGAGGAUGAUCAGCCACACUGGAACUGAGACACGGUCCAGACUCCUACGGGAGGCAGCAGUGGGGAAUAUUGGACAAUGGGCGCAAGCCUGAUCAAGCCAUACCGCGUGGGUGAAGAAGGCAUUCGAGUUGUAAAGCCCUUUUGUUGGGAAAGAAAAGCAGCAGGUUAAUACCCCGCUGUUCUGACGGUACCCAAAGAAUAAGCACCGGCUAACUUCGUG
rnacentral:rRNA from 1 species